CUACGGGUCGCACCAGUGAGGAAUAUUGCGCAAUGGGGGAAACCCUGAUGCAGCAACGCCGCGUGGAGGAUGACGCAUUUCGGUGUGUAAACUCCUUUUAUAUGUCAAGAAAAUGACGGUAGCAUAUGAAUAAGCACCGGCUAACUCCGUGCCAGCAGCCGCGGUAAUACGGAGGGUGCAAGCGUUACUCGGAAUCACUGGGCGUAAAGGACGCGUAGGCGGGUUGGAAAGUCAGGUGUGAAAUCCUACAGCUUAACUGUAGAACUGCACUUGAAACUUCUAAUCUAGAGUAUGGGAGGGGGAGAUGGAAUUAGUGGUGUAGGGGUAAAAUCCGUAGAUAUCACUAGGAAUACCUAAAGCGAAGGCGAUCUCCUGGAACAUUACUGACGCUAAGGCGUGAAAGCGUGGGGAGCAAACAGGAUUAGAUACCCCGGUAGUC
rnacentral:rRNA from 1 species